rnacentral:lncRNA from 1 species
GGGGGGCUCGACUCAUUGCCAUGGGUCUAUUGGAGCGAUAAGAGGGACCUGAAGUUCCCUAUGGCAGAUCAUUAAAAGGAGAAAAGAAAACAAACAAAAAAAGAUUAAAAACACACAAAAAAAGAGCGUUCGUCUUUGCAAAUAAUUAAUAAUAAUAGUAAUAAUUAAUAAUUAAAAAAGAAAGCAAAUUGGAUGUGGUUUUCUAGUAGUUGAGCGUAUUGAGUUAUUUGGUGGGGGAGAAAUAAUGGAGUUCUGGUGUUGAUGGUUCCGAUGGGUUCCGUCCAACUUGGGAUGAUCCAUAGAUUGGACCCAUAGAUUGGACCCAUAGAUUGGACCCAUUGGUUCUCAUGGGUUCUAGGCCCCAUAGACGACCCCAGUCAACAUCAUAGGCCCCAUAGACAUCAUAGGCCCCAUAGAUGUCCCAAAUCAAUAGGUCCCAUACACGACCCCAAUCAACAUCAUAGGCCCCAUAGACGUCAUAGGCCCCAUAGACGACCCCAAACAACAUCAUUGGCCCCAUAGAUGUCAUAGGCCCCAUAGAUGUCCCCAAUCAAUAGGUCCCAUACACGACCCCAAUCAACAUCAUUGGCCCCAUAGAUGUCAUAGGCCCCAUAGAGGCCCCAAUGAACAUCAUAGGCCCCAUAGAUGACCCCAAUCAACAUCAUAGGCCCCAUAGACGUCAUAGGCCCCAUACACGACCCCAAUCGACAUAAUAGGCCCCAUAGACGACCCCAAUCAACAUCAUUGGCCCCAUAGACAUCAUAGGCCCCAUAGACGACCCCAAUCAACAUCAUAGGCCCCAUAGAUGCCCCCAGUCAACAUCAUUGGCCCCAUAGAUGCCCCCAAUCAACACCACAGACCAUAUCACAAGACCAGACCCCAUAGACUUUAUUGCUGGCUCCCUAUAGGGUCGACCCACCCCCAUGGCUGGGUGGGGGGGGGGAUAUAGGGGGGUACAUUAUAAUAUGGGGGGGGGGGUCUCAGAGCUGCAGAUAUUCAGCCACGAAGGCAAUGAGGAUCUUACACAGGUCUUCUAUGGUUGGGGGGUGAAGGUUGUCCUGGGUGUCAUCCACCGUGUGCCAGACCCACGGGAAGGGGAGGGGGAUGAGGUGCAGCACUGGGACACCCCCUCAUUAUAUCUCCUUAACGCUCCAUCCAGGGCAGCGGCCACCUCCAUCAUGAUGGCGCAUGGGACGGCGGAGUCGACGGCCCCGAUGAACGGAGUCACUUGUGGGGCCGGGAGGAUUUUGGUGUCGUAAUGACAAGCCAAGACCAGACGAUGUGGGGCAGGAGGGGACGAGGUGGCCACCAGGUUGGUGAAGGUCACGGCCCCACGCGGGGUGGGGGAGGUGAAGGUGUCCAGGUCCAAGUGCCAACCGAG